rnacentral:rRNA from 1 species
UGUCUCAAAGAUUAAGCCAUGCAUGUCUAAGUACAGGCUUUGGUACAGCGAAACCGCGAAUGGCUCAUUAAAUCAGCUAUAAUUUAUUAGAUUGUUCUCUACUUGGAUAACUGUGGGAAUUCUAGAGCUAAUACAUGCGCAAAAGCUCCGACCUCCGGGGAGGAGUGCAGUUAUUAGACCAAAACCAGCCGAGCCUCGGCUCGAACUGUUUGGUGACUCUGGAUAACUAUCAGCGGAUCGCAUGGCCUUGUGCCGGCGACAUAUCUUUCAAGUGUCUGACCUAUCAACUGACGAUGGUACGCGAUAUGCCUACCAUGGUGAUAACGGGUAACGGAGAAUAAGGGUUCGACUCCGGAGAGGGAGCCUGAGAAAUGGCUACCACAUCCAAGGAUGGCAGCAGGCGCGCAAAUUACCCACUCUCAGUACGAGGAGGUAGUGACGAAAAAUAACAAUGCGGGACUCUAUGAGGCCUCGCAAUUGGAAUGAGCGCACUUUAAAUCGUUCGACGAGGAUCUAUUGGAGGGCAAGUCUGGUGCCAGCAGCCGCGGUAAUUCCAGCUCCAAUAGCGUAUAUUAAAGUUGUUGCAGUUAAAAAGCUCGUAGUUGGAUCUGGGGUUCGGGUCGGCGGUUUGCCGCUCUGCGGCUACUGCCGUGCUCGACUCUUACUAGCCGGUGCGUCUCGUGGUGCUCUUCAUUGAGUGCCUCGAGAGCCUGGCAUGUUUACUUUGAAAAAAUUAGAGUGCUCAAAGCAGGCGCUUCCGCCUGAAUAGUGUUGCAUGGAAUAAUGGAAUAGGACCUCGGUUCUAUUUUGUUGGUUUUCGGAACUUGAGGUAAUGAUUAAGAGGGACGGUCGGGGGCAUUCGUAUUUCGGUGUUAGAGGUGAAAUUCUUGGAUCGCUGAAAGACGGACAAAUGCGAAAGCAUCUGCCAAGAACGUCUCCAUUAAUCAAGAACGAAAGUCAGAGGUUCGAAGACGAUCAGACACCGUCCUAGUUCUGACCAUAAACGAUGCCAACUAGCGAUCCGCAGUGGUUGCUAUAAACGGACUCUGCGAGCAGCUUCCGGGAAACCAAAGUGUUUGGGUUCCGGGGGAAGUAUGGUUGCAAAGCUGAAACUUAAAGGAAUUGACGGAAGGGCACCACCAGGAGUGGAGCCUGCGGCUUAAUUUGACUCAACACGGGGAAACUCACCCGGUCCGGACACCGUAAGGAUUGACAGAUCGAGAGCUCUUUCUUGAUUCGGUGGAUGGUGGUGCAUGGCCGUUCUUAGUUGGUGGAGUGAUUUGUCUGGUUAAUUCCGAUAACGAACGAGACUCUAGCCUGCUAACUAGUUGCGCCGUGUUCAUUCGCGGCUGUAGACUUCUUAGAGGGACAGAUGGCGUUUAGCCAUACGAAACUGAGCAAUAACAGGUCUGUGAUGCCCUUAGAUGUCCGGGGCCGCACGCGCGCUACACUGAAGGAGUCAGCGUGUGCUAUCCGGGCUCGGAAGAGCUCGGUAACCCGUUGAAACUCCUUCGUGCUUGGGAUUGUGGCUUGUAAUUAUCGCGCAUGAACGAGGAAUUCCCAGUAAGUGCAAGUCAUCAGCUUGCGCUGACUACGUCCCUGCCCUUUGUACACACCGCCCGUCGCUACUACCGAUUGAAUGGUUUAGCAAGGUACUCGGAUUGGUCUCUGUCUUGCACGCAAGUGCGAGACUGGGUGCCGAGAAGAAGGCCAAACUUGAUCAUUUAGAGGAAGUAAAAGUCGUAACAAGG